rnacentral:lncRNA from 10 species
GCCAGUGCCCACAGAAAAACUAAAUUCGGAACCUCUUCCUCCUGUUACACUGGCAACAAAGAGGGAGUUUCCGUAGCGCUCCCGUCACCCACCAGGUGCCCAAUCUCCUUCCCAGCCCAGAGUCGGCGCUCCCGCAGGGGCCUCCGAGUGCGGGGAGGCCGCGGGGCCCGGGUCACGGCACUAAGGGGGGAUGGGGUGCAAGCGAGCAAGCGAGGUCUGCGGAGCGGGCCGUGGAAGGGCUCCGGGACCCGCUGAAACCAUCUGAACCCAGCCAGGGGGCAGCGGGCAAGAGAAAAGGGACAGAAUAUCUAAUGAAGCAGAAACUGGAAUUCGGUGGGAGAGGUGAAGAGCUCUUGCUGGGGGUACACCUGCGAGGAGCACAGAAAACGGGCGGCGGAUGGCGGGGAGACUCCACGGAGGUGGAAGAGAGGAGCCAGGCCCGGAAGAACAGGGAAGGGGAUGCCACCUGGGGCAGAGGAGGCGCCAGUGCAGCCUCUACCUGCAGGCGGGCGGGACGGGCAGCUCAGGUGUGACUGGGAGGAGGGGGCCGACUGGGGAAGGGGCCGGGAAGAGCUGAGGGCGCACUAGGCGCCGCGCAGAGGCGCCUUUGAGUCGGCAGCCGCGGAGCCAGCGCACGGGCAUCGGCGGGACCCGGCGGACGGAAAGGCGGAGUGGGGGUCUUUGGACUGCACGACUAUAAUUUCAUGUGUGUGAAAUUCAAGGGGAAAAAGGAAACAAUACAUAAUCCAGUCUGUAGCUUCUCAUGGAUCGUGCAAAGCACCACCAGGACAGACAUCUCAAGCACAUUUGAAGAGCUCCUGUUUCCUAAGUAAGACAGCAGCAGCAAGACUGCAAUCAUUUCUGGGAAGGCAGUAUCAUCAUAAUGCAAUAUUAGCUACUGUGAUCUUCUAUCAUUUCCUUCCUGGAGAGUUAUGACUGUGGCAUUGAAGAUUUAAGACCUACAGCCUCAACACUACUUACUACAAAUCUCUCACAAAGCUGCUGCAAUAAAUCUCGUGGAGGAAAGUCAUUGCAUAAAAAAAUCCUCAACUCCAGGGAGUUGGCCAUUUAUUUUCCUAGAAAAGGGGCUGUGAUGAGAGACACUCCAUGCUCCUUUAACUCCAUGGAACAGAACCCAACAAAACAUUCAUCAUGGAAAGUUGACUGAUGGGCCCAGUGAGACUAGCUGGGGAAGGAAGAUGGAAAGAGAAGUGCCCCAUCCAAGGCCUGCUCCUUUUCCUAGCUGCAGCCCGGAGGGAUUUCCUCUUAGCUUGAGGAUUGACUUUCCAUAGAAUCAGCACCACUGAGGGUAAGCUUCCCUGAAGACAAACUCUGUCAUUGGAGAGCUCAGCCAGGGGUCUAAAACUGGACCCUAUGGACUCCACAGAUUUAUUUAGUCUGCACAGUGUUUAAAAAUGUUUUUAGUUAGGGCCAGGCAUGGUGGCUCCCACCUGUAAUCCCAGCACUUUGAGAGGCCGAGGUGGGUGGAUCACCUAAGGUCAGGAGUUUGAGACCAGCCUGCCUGACAUGGCAAAACCCAGUCUCUACUAAAAAUACAAAAAUUAGCUGGGCAUGGUUGCUCAGGCCUGUAAUCUCAGAUACUUGGGAGGCUGAGGCACAAGAAUCACUUGAACCUGGGAGGCGGAGGUUGCAGUGAGCCAAGAUCGCACCAUUGCACUCCAGCUUGGGUGACAAGAGUGAAACUCCAUCUCAAAAAAAAAAAAAAAAGUUUCUAGUUAGUUCCCAACAUAAAAAAUUAACAAUUUUGCAAAGAAAGAUAAAAUCCAGAUUUUGGGCUCCCCUAAACAAAUUGGGAUAUCUGAAAACAGUGGGCCACAUUCCUACAUUCCUGCCCCUGUUGACAGUAUGCGCCUGCUCUAAUUUUACUUCCCCUUUUACCCUAACUGCCCUGUAGGGAAUGGAGUUUGCAAUCCCCAUACUAAUCCAUCACCCUGCAGGUCCAUUCCCCUCCUCCCUGACCUCUGUUCUGAUAAGGGGUGAGAGAAUGAACCCCCAUAUGUAUUGAAUGGAAAAUACAUGUAUUGGCCAGGCACAGCGGCUCACACUUGUAAUCCCAGCACUUUGGGAGGCCAAGAUGGGCAGAUCACCUGAGGUCAGGAGUUCAAGACCAGCCUGGCCAAUAUGGCGAAACCGUGUUUCUACUAAAAAUAAUUUAAAAACAAAAUUAGCCAGACAUGAUGGCAGGCGCCUAUAAUCCCAACUACUCAGGAGGCUGGGGCAGGAGAAUCGUUUGAACCCAGGAGGCGGAGGCUGCAGUGAGCCAAGAUCGCACCAUGGCACACCAGCCUGGGCAACAAGACUGAAACUCCAUCUCAAAAAAAAUAAAAAUAAAAAUACAUGUAUUGAUGAGAAAAUACAACUGACUAAUCCCACCUAAACCAUGACCUCAUAUAAAUUCAGAAGAUCUUUCUAACAUGGCAGGGAGGCAGCCUAGUAUAAAGCAAAGAGCACAUGCUUUGCGAAUGUAAACCAAAAAUAAAAGUUGAAGGCCCUCCUCACCAUAUGAAUGGUCUCCUUCCUUUGCCAGGGCACCCUAAAAUUUAACUGGUUGAGGCCAUGAUGGGUAGUAGGGGUUGGACAUGCCUCAUUAUACCCUUCCAGCAGUAACAUCAACACAGACUUUAAGUCUGAUAAGAAACAUUUACAGUCUAUUUUCUCUAAAGCCUGCUACUUGGAGAUAUAAAACCUAGGUCUCCACAACCCCUAUUGUAACCCAGCCAUUUCUUUCUAAUGAUAAUAAGUCUUUCAACCAAUUGCCAAUCAGAAUAUGUUUAAAUCUUCCUAUGACCUAGAAGCACCCCACUCUUUGAGUUGUCCCACCCUUCCAGAUUGAACCAAUGUAAAUGGUUCAAUUGAUUGAUGUGUUAUAUCUCCCUAAAGUGUAUAAAAGGAAGCUGUACCUCAACCAUCUUGGGCACGCGUCUUCAGGAACUCCUGAGUCUGUGUCACAGGUGUGUCCUUAACCUUGGCAAAGUAAACUUUCCAUUACUUAUAAUGGCAAAAACUGCAAUUACUUUUGCACCAACCUAAUAAAUGGAUUGAGACUUGCCUCAGAUACUUAUUGGUUUAUACCUAGAGGCAGACCUUGGCUCAAAUCCCAUCUCUCCCUUACUCUGGGAUAUUGUCCAACUUGCUCAGCCUCUUGAAACCUACUUUGCUUACAGCAAAAUGGGUAUAAGGGGAUCUUUCACCCAAGCCUUUUGUGAGGACUAAAUGUGGUAAUGGACAUUAAGUGCCAGACCCCUUGAAUGUGCCAUCUUCUCUCAGCUUCUAUAAUGUCAUGCUGUCAGUUCCCUCCUUUUCUUUUUUUCUUUUCUUUUCUUUUUUUUUUUUUUUUUUGAGACGGAGUCUUGCUCUGUCCCCCAGGCUGGAGUGCAGUGGCACGAUCUCGGCUCACUGCAAGCUCCGCCUCCCGGGUUCACGCCAUUCUCCUGCCUCAGCCUUCCGAGUAGCUGGGACUACAGGCGUCCGUCACCGCGCCUGGCUAAUUGUUUUUGUAUUUUUCUUAGAGACUGGGUUUCACAGUGGUCUCGAUCUCCUGACCUCGUGGUCCGCCCGCCUCGGCCUCCCAAAGUGCUGGGAUUACAGGUGUGAGCCACCGCGCCCAGCCUAGUUCCCUCCUUUUCAUGGCUUCUUUGCUUCAUCUUUUCUGUCUCCUUUGAAGGUAUGCCUUCCUGGAAUAUACCAUAAAUGUCAGUGUUCCUCAGGAUUCUAUCUUGACCUGACUCCCCCGACCCAACUGCUAGCUUUUCCCUCUGUCUAAUGCUGGUACAGAUACAUAAACUGAUAGGUAGAUUACAACACAAUUCGAUUUUCUGUUUUGCUUUUUUUUUUGGCUUAUUAUUACAUAAACUUUUUUUCAUUGCUGCCAUACAUUCUUCAAAAUAAACACUUCGGGGGGCGAGCUGGCCCAGCACUUUGGGAGGCCAAGGAGGUGGAUCACUUCAGGUCAGGAGUUCGAGACCAGCCUGACCAACAUGGUGAAACCCCCAUCUCUACUAAAAAUACAAAAAUUAGCCGGGUGUUGGUGCAAGCACCUGUAAUCUCAACUGCUCGGGAGGCUGAGGCAUGAAAAUCACUUGAACCCGCGAGGCAGAGGUUGCAGUGAGCCAAUAUAGUACCACUGUACUCCAGCCUGGGCAACAGAGCUGCGAGACCUUGUCUCAAACAAAACAAAACAAAACAAAAUAAACACUUCAUGGCUGAACAAUAUGCCAUUUCCUGAAUAGAUUGUAAUUUACCUAAUCAUUUCUCUAAUAGUGGACACUUAGGUUGUUCUAAUUUUGAAAGGCAGGAAUACCAAGAAUGUUUUCUUGCACAUGGCAGAUUAUUUCUCAGUAUAGGCUCAUCCUUUCGAGUAUAUGGCAUCUUUUCUUCUUUCCCUCCUCUCUCUCCUCAGAAGUACUCAAGGCCCCGGAGAUACUUUGGCUGUAUCCCCACCAAUCUCAUCUUGAAUUGUAGCUCCCAUGAUUCCCAUGUAUCCUGAGAGGGACCCAGUGGGAGGUAAUUGAAUCAUGGGGGCAGGUCUUUCCCGUGCUGUUCUAGAGAUAGUGAAUGAGUCUCACAAGAUCUGAUGGUUUUAUAAAGGGCGGUUCCCCUACACAAGUUCUCUCUUGCCUGCCACUUUGCUCCUCAUUUGCUCUCUGCCAUGACUGUGAGCCCUCCCCAGCCAUAUGCAACUGUGAGUCAAUUAAACCUCUUUUCUUAAUAAAUUACCCAGUCUCUGGUAUGUCUGUAUUAGCAGUGUGAGACAGACUAAUACAGCCCUUAUGUGUCCAGAAGUACUGACUUUCUUGGAUGAUACCUUAAGUAAAGCCUAAUAAAGCUUUAGUGACUGAUACAUUUUUAAAAAUGAAGUAAUUAUUUAUGUGUAAUGAGACAAAUUAUUUAUUUCAGAGUGUUAUUUGCCUUACUCUCUUCCCCCAGCAAAAGGAGUCCUCAAGUGGCCAGCCACAUUUUCUCAUUUCUCCUUUCUUCAAAAACUGAUGGGAUCUUGCUUGAUGAAGUCACAUAACAAGUGAAUACAGCAAAGAGAGAGGGAAGGGGGAGGAAAUAGCCGUUGGGAAUGGAGUGUUGUUGGAUGAGCUUUGUGAAGUGUGGGAAGAGAAAGAUACUAGAGGAGACCGAGACAAAUGGAUAGGUGAAGAAACAGAAUUUUAGUAAGUGGUGCUGUAUGCUAUAUAUGUGGAUUUGCCUCAAAGUUUUAAAAAAUGGCAAGCAG